rnacentral:rRNA from 1 species
UGAGGUUAAGCGACUAAGCGUACACGGUGGAUGCCUAGGCAGUCAGAGGCGAUGAAGGGCGUGCUAAUCUGCGAUAAGCGUCGGUAAGCUGAUAUGAAGCGUUAUACCCGACGAUACCCGAAUGGGGAAACCCAGUGUGUUUCGACACACUAUCAUUACGUGAAUACAUAGCGUAAUGAGGCGAACCGGGGGAACUGAAACAUCUCAGUACCCCGAGGAAAAGAAAUCAACCGAGAUUCCCCUAGUAGCGGCGAGCGAACGGGGAGGAGCCCAGAACCUGAAUCAGUUUGUGUGUUAGUGGAAGCGUCUGGAAAGUCGCACAGUAAAGGGUGAUAGUCCCGUACACAAAAAUGCACAGAUUGUGAGUUCGAUGAGUAGGGCGGGACACGUGACAUCCUGUCUGAAUAUGGGGGGACCAUCCUCCAAGGCUAAAUACUCCUGACUGACCGAUAGUGAACCAGUACCGUGAGGGAAAGGCGAAAAGAACCCCGGCGAGGGGAGUGAAAUAGAACCUGAAACCGUGUACGUACAAGCAGUGGGAGCCUUGAUUAAUCAGGGUGACUGCGUACCUUUUGUAUAAUGGGUCAGCGACUUAUAUUCUGUAGCAAGGUUAACCGUAUAGGGGAGCCGUAGGGAAACCGAGUCUUAACUGGGCGUUAAGUUGCAGGGUAUAGACCCGAAACCCGGUGAUCUAGCCAUGGGCAGGUUGAAGGUUGGGUAACACUAACUGGAGGACCGAACCGACUAAUGUUGAAAAAUUAGCGGAUGACUUGUGGCUGGGGGUGAAAGGCCAAUCAAACCGGGAGAUAGCUGGUUCUCCCCGAAAGCUAUUUAGGUAGCGCCUCGUGAAUUCAUCUUCGGGGGUAGAGCACUGUUUCGGCUAGGGGGUCAUCCCGACUUACCAACCCGAUGCAAACUACGAAUACCGAAGAAUGUUAUCACGGGAGACACACGGCGGGUGCUAACGUUCGUCGUGAAGAGGGAAACAACCCAGACCGCCAGCUAAGGUCCCAAAGUCAUGGUUAAGUGGGAAACGAUGUGGGAAGGCACAGACAGCCAGGAUGUUGGCUUAGAAGCAGCCAUCAUUUAAAGAAAGCGUAAUAGCUCACUGGUCGAGUCGGCCUGCGCGGAAGAUGUAACGGGGCUAAACCAUGCACCGAAGCUGCGGCAGCGACACUUAGGUGUUGUUGGGUAGGGGAGCGUUCUGUAAGCCGUCGAAGGUGGCCUGUGAGGGUUGCUGGAGGUAUCAGAAGUGCGAAUGCUGACAUAAGUAACGAUAAUGCGGGUGAAAAACCCGCACGCCGGAAGACCAAGGGUUCCUGUCCAACGUUAAUCGGGGCAGGGUGAGUCGACCCCUAAGGCGAGGCUGAAAAGCGUAGUCGAUGGGAAACAGGUUAAUAUUCCUGUACUCGGUGUUACUGCGAAGGGGGGACGGAGAAAGCUAGGUUAUCCGGGCGACGGUUGUCCCGGUUUAAGCGUGAAGGUGGAUGACUUUGGUAAAUCCGGGUCGUCAUUAACACUGAGGCGUGAUGACGAGUCACUACGGUGAUGAAGUAACCAAUGCUACGCUUCCAGGAAAAGCCUCUAAGCUCCAGGUAACAUCAAAUCGUACCCCAAACCGACACAGGUGGUCAGGUAGAGAAUACUCAGGCGCUUGAGAGAACUCGGGUGAAGGAACUAGGCAAAAUGGUGCCGUAACUUCGGGAGAAGGCACGCUGAUGGUAGGUGAAGUGACUUGCUCACGGAGCUGAAAUCAGUCGAAGAUACCAGCUGGCUGCAACUGUUUAAUAAAAACACAGCACUGUGCAAACACGAAAGUGGACGUAUACGGUGUGACGCCUGCCCGGUGCCGGAAGGUUAAUUGAUGGGGUCAGCCGCAAGGCGAAGCUCUUGAUCGAAGCCCCGGUAAACGGCGGCCGUAACUAUAACGGUCCUAAGGUAGCGAAAUUCCUUGUCGGGUAAGUUCCGACCUGCACGAAUGGCGUAAUGAUGGCCAGGCUGUCUCCACCCGAGACUCAGUGAAAUUGAACUCGCUGUGAAGAUGCAGUGUACCCGCGGCAAGACGGAAAGACCCCGUGAACCUUUACUAUAGCUUGACACUGAACCUUGAGCCUUGAUGUGUAGGAUAGGUGGGAGGCUUUGAAGCGUGGACGCCAGUCUGCGUGGAGCCAACCUUGAAAUACCACCCUUUAAUGUUUGAUGUUCUAACGUGGGCCCGUGAUCCGGGUUGCGGACAGUGUCUGGUGGGUAGUUUGACUGGGGCGGUCUCCUCCCAAAGCGUAACGGAGGAGCACGAAGGUUAGCUAAUCCUGGUCGGACAUCAGGAGGUUAGUGCAAAGGCAUAAGCUAGCUUGACUGCGAGAGUGACAGCUCGAGCAGGUGCGAAAGCAGGUCUUAGUGAUCCGGUGGUUCUGAAUGGAAGGGCCAUCGCUCAACGGAUAAAAGGUACUCCGGGGAUAACAGGCUGAUACCGCCCAAGAGUUCAUAUCGACGGCGGUGUUUGGCACCUCGAUGUCGGCUCAUCACAUCCUGGGGCUGAAGUAGGUCCCAAGGGUAUGGCUGUUCGCCAUUUAAAGUGGUACGCGAGCUGGGUUUAGAACGUCGUGAGACAGUUCGGUCCCUAUCUGCCGUGGGCGUUGGAAGAUUGAGAGGGGUUGCUCCUAGUACGAGAGGACCGGAGUGAACGCACCACUGGUGUUCGGGUUGUGAUGCCAAUUGCAUUGCCCGGUAGCUAAGUGCGGAAGAGAUAACCGCUGAAAGCAUCUAAGCGGGAAACUUGCCUCGAGAUGAGUCUUCCCUGGGCACUAGAUGCCCCUGAAGGGCCGUUGAAGACUACGACGUAGAUAGGCUGGGUGUGUAAGCGUAGCGAUACGUUGAGCUAACCAGUACUAAUGACCCGAGAGGCUUAACCUU